rnacentral:rRNA from 1 species
ACUCCUACGGGAGGCAGCAGUGGGGAAUAUUGCACAAUGGGCGCAAGCCUGAUGCAGCCAUGCCGCGUGUGUGAAGAAGGCCUUCGGGUUGUAAAGCACUUUCAGUCGUGAGGAAGGUAGUGUAGUUAAUAGCUGCAGUAUUUGACGUUAGCGACAGAAGAAGCACCGGCUAACUCCGUGCCAGCAGCCGCGGUAAUACGGAGGGGUGCGAGCGUUAAUCGGAAUUACUGGGCGUAAAGCGCAUGCAGGUGGUUUGUUAAGUCAGAUGUGAAAGCCGGGGCGUCAACCUCGGAAUAGCAUUUGAAACUGGCAGACUAGAGUACUGUAGAGGGGGUAGAAUUUCAGGUGUAGCGGUGAAAUGCGUAGAGAUCUGAAGGAAUACCGGUGGCGAAGGCGGCCCCCUGGACAGAUACUGACACUCAGAUGCGAAAGCGU